CGGGGCGCCCCCGGCUCCGGCGCCCGCGCCCCCCUCCAGCCCGCUCCUGUUACUCUGCUUCCCCGGCUGUGUUUGUGCCGCUGCCGCCUCACUGCCCCUCCAGCCUCCGUUUCCAACUUCCCGCUGUGGCUUCCGGGCCCGAAGAACUGGAGACAAGUCUCAUCUACUUAAGGCAGCAUUGUCUUUGGGUUCCUUAAACAUGAAGGCAGUUGUUGGAAGCAAACUGUUAAAAGCUGUGGUAGUGGCUGCCUGGUAAGAGCCACGUGAAGAAGGCUGUGACCGAUUUCAGCGCCACACCUUUCCCGCUCUGCUCGGCGGGGUCCUUGCUGCUUUCCCACUUGUAGAAGGCGUCCUCUGAGAUCACCUCCUCAUCAUAGAGACAAUCAAAAAACAUCCGCAACAGAUCUGCAAGAGGGCGAGAGGGGCUGUCAGUACCUUUAAGGACAAACAAAGGAUGUUUUUCCCCAAGCAGUGAUUUUGCACAGAUUCUCAAAGAGGACAUCAGUGUUGGUCUCCCCCUUAAAAACAAUUUUCAGUGUUACACCAGCACAAAGACUUGGGGACAUGAAGAAAGGAGAAGGCAAUAAUUUACAUGGUGUCUAAAAUCACUUUUCUGUAGCUAUUAUUUAACUCCAGUCUAAUUUUUCUACGGUACUAGGUGUAUAUCAUUUUAUAUUACAUUCCAAUAAUCUUUUAAAAAUAAAAAGUCUGGGUUGCUCCUCAU